ensembl:snRNA U6 U6 spliceosomal RNA
ACAACAAUACAGAGAAAAUUAGCAUGGCCCGUGAGCAAGAAUGACACACAAGUUUGUGAAGUGUUCCAUAUUUUG